UACGGGAGGCAGCAGUGAGGAAUAUUGGUCAAUGGGCGAGAGCCUGAACCAGCCAAGUCGCGUGAGGGACGACGGCCCUACGGGUUGUAAACCUCUUUUGCCGGGGGACAAACGGCGGCACGCGUGCCGUCCUGAGGGUACCCGGAGAAAAAGCAUCGGCUAACUCCGUGCCAGCAGCCGCGGUAAUACGGAGGAUGCGAGCGUUAUCCGGAUUUAUUGGGUUUAAAGGGUGCGUAGGCGGGAUGCCAAGUCAGCGGUCAAAUACGGGGGCUCAACCUGCGUCCGCCGUUGAAACUGGCGUUCUUGAGUGGGCGAGAAGUACGCGGAAUGCGUGGUGUAGCGGUGAAAUGCAUAGAUAUCACGCAGAACCCCGAUUGCGAAGGCAGCGUACCGGCGCCCAACUGACGCUGAAGCACGAAAGCGUGGGUAUCGAACAGGAUUAGAUACCCUGGUAGUCCACGCAGUAAACGAUGAACACUAAUUGUCCGGCGGGGUUUGCCGCUGG
rnacentral:rRNA from 1 species